GACGAACGCUGGCGGCGUGCUUAACACAUGCAAGUCGAACGGAAAGGCCCUGCUUGCAGGGUACUCGAGUGGCGAACGGGUGAGUAACACGUGGGUGAUCUGCCCUGCACUUCGGGAUAAGCCUGGGAAACUGGGUCUAAUACCGGAUAGGAGCCAUUUUUAGUGUGAUGGUUGGAAAGUUUUUUCGGUGUAGGAUGAGCUCGCGGCCUAUCAGCUUGUUGGUGGGGUAAUGGCCUACCAAGGCGGCGACGGGUAGCCGGCCUGAGAGGGUGGACGGCCACAUUGGGACUGAGAUACGGCCCAGACUCCUACGGGAGGCAGCAGUGGGGAAUAUUGCACAAUGGGCGCAAGCCUGAUGCAGCGACGCCGCGUGGGGGAGGACGGCCUUCGGGUUGUAAACGCCUUUCGCUAGGGGCGAAGCUUUUUGUGACGGUACCUAGAUAAGAAGCACCGGCUAACUACGUG
rnacentral:rRNA from 1 species